UACGAAGGGGGCUAGCGUUGCUCGGAGUUACUGGGCGUAAAGCGCACGUAGGCGGCUUCUUAAGUCGGUGGUGAAAUCCUGGAGCUCAACUCCAGAACUGCCUUCGAUACUGAGAAGCUCGAGUCCGGGAGAGGUGAGUGGAACUGCGAGUGUAGAGGUGAAAUUCGUAGAUAUUCGCAAGAACACCAGUGGCGAAGGCGGCUCACUGGCCCGGUACUGACGCUGAGGUGCGAAAGCGUGGGGAGCAAACAGG
rnacentral:rRNA from 1 species